CAUGGCAUGCUGUUUCAACAGGAACCAUGUUUACUGUCUAUUACAAACCCAGGUGCGUUCAUUUUUGUACACUGCUAUGCGAGGUAUUGAUUUAGGAUUAAUAACUACACCUAUAGUUACACCUGUAAAUGUGUUGCACAACUGGCGGCAUGAAUUCAAAAAGUGGAGACCUGGGGGAAUUAAAGUGUCUUCAUAUCUUUAUGCUAGAAGAUGUUCCUAGCUGGCAGUGGGCCAAGAUCUAUGGUUGGAUGACCAUUUGAUCUUGAAUAAUAUCCUAAAAAUAAGAUGAGUAUUUUUUUAAUAAAAUCUUGACUGACUUCAUUGAGGAUGGGUUGCAUGAUGGGCAUGGGCUGUAGUUCUAAUGUUUGCGGGCAUGUCAGCAAAACCAAGGAUUAUAUUGAGGAUGCUUAUCUGAAUCCAUGCUCAGCACCCAUUUCUCUGUAUGAAGUAUGUUUUUCUAGGACCAAGGCUUCAUGACACCCACAACCAAUCAGCUGAAGUUAAUUAUAUUUUUAACAUAUGCUGCAACUAUUGUUGUUGAAAAAUGAUCUUC